AAAGUAUAUAAGGUUUAUUACAGGAGAAGUAUAAAAUACAGGCAAUACUUGCAAGUUCGAGAGCUGUCUUGUUGACUCCGGAAGCCGACAAGAGGACUCUGCCUUGCUGCAUUUUAGGAAUCAGUUUUAUUCAACCUGAUCCAAGCUGAAGGCCAGUCUCUGAACUGAUAAAAAGGAGAAGGGAGACCAGAAGGCGCUGCUCUCUUACUGUCUCGCCCAAACAGGCUGAUAUUUUCUAAACAACUGUUUUUAUUUAACAGCUGCAACAUCA